rnacentral:rRNA from 1 species
GAUGAACGCUAGCGGCAGGCCUAAUACAUGCAAGUCGGACGGGAUCGGGGAGCUUGCUCCCCGUGAGAGUGGCGCACGGGUGCGUAACACGUAUGUAACCUACCUUUAUCAGGGGGAUAGCCUCUCGAAAGAGAGAUUAACACCGCAUAACAUCACAUGAUAGCAUUAUCGAGUGAUCAAAUAUUCAUAGGAUAAAGAUGGGCAUGCGGGACAUUAGCUAGUUGGCGGGGUAACGGCCCACCAAGGCGACGAUGUCUAGGGGAUCUGAGAGGAUGAACCCCCACACUGGUACUGAGACACGGACCAGACUCCUACGGGAGGCGGCAGUAAGGAAUAUUGGUCAAUGGACGCAAGUCUGAACCAGCCAUGCCGCGUGCAGGAGGACGGCCCUACGGGUUGUAAACUGCUUUUGUACCGGAAUAAACCCUUUUACGUGUAAGAGGCUGAAUGUACGGUAAGAAUAAGGAUCGGCUAACUCCGUGCCAGCCGCCGCGGUAA